GUAGCUGAAUAACCUUUUUAAGCAAACUGCUUUGGGAGCAGGGGGUCGUGGGUUCGAAUCCCGCUACCCCGACA
rnacentral:tRNA from 1 species